rnacentral:rRNA from 1 species
AGUGAACGCUGGCGGCAGGCCUAACACAUGCAAGUCGAACGGCAGCACAGGAGAGCUUGCUCUCUGGGUGGCGAGUGGCGGACGGGUGAGGAAUACAUCGGAAUCUACUUUUUCGUGGGGGAUAACGUAGGGAAACUUACGCUAAUACCGCAUACGACCUACGGGUGAAAGCAGGGGAUCUUCGGACCUUGCGCGAUUGAAUGAGCCGAUGUCGGAUUAGCUAGUUGGCGGGGUAAAGGCCCACCAAGGCGUCGAUCCGUAGCUGGUCUGAGAGGAUGAUCGGCCACACUGGAACUGAGACACGGUCCAGACUCCUACGGGAGGCAGCAGUGGGGAAUAUUGGACAAUGGGCGCAAGCCUGAUCCAGCCAUACCGCGUGGGUGAAGAAGGCCUUCGGGUUGUAAAGCCCUUUUGUUGGGAAAGAAAUCCAGCUGGUUAAUACCCGGUUGGGAUGACGGUACCCAAAGAAUAAGCACCGGCUAACUUCGUGCCAGCCGCCGCAGUAA